rnacentral:rRNA from 1 species
UUCCUACGGGACGCAGCAGUGGGGAAUAUUGGGCAAUGGAGGCAACUCUGACCCAGCAACGCCGCGUGAGUGAUGAAGGUCUUCGGAUUGUAAAACUCUUUAAGUGGGGACGAAGAAAGUGACUGUACCCACAGAAUAAGCCUCGGCUAACUACGUGCCAGCAGCCGCGGUAAUACGUAGGAGGCAAGCGUUAUCCGGAAUGACUGGGCGUAAAGGGUGCGUAGGUGGUUUGGCAAGUUAGUAGCGUAAUUCCGGGGCUCAACUUCGGAACUACUACUAAAACUGCUGGGCUUGAGUGCAGGAGG